UGUACAUGGACUUGAAUGGCCAUCUUUUGACUGAAUGUACUGCCAAACAACACUUUUUCUGCUCAAGAGUUCUAUUUUCACUUUCCCACAGCCUACUGCAUUGAGCGGUCCACCUACCAACACCUUCCUGUGAUCAACAUCGACCUGCGUUGCGCGCCUAGUGCAAGAGUAGGGUUCGGUGGAAAUGAAUUCUAAAGUUGAGCAACCUCGUCAAAAAGCCCAAUAUUCGGCCGAAUCUGAAGCCA